UAGCUAGUCACCUUCUUCUAUUGUUCCUCUUCCUGGGGAAGGAGCCAAGAUAUAUUUAGAAGGGGUCUAAAGUUUCUUAGUAAAGCUUCUAGGACAAAUCGAGAGCUUAUUGCAUUGCACGUAAUAUAUUUUUUUUUUUCCUUUCUGGCACAUAGCUAGACAAUUAUUCUCUGUGGGUCCUCAAGGACUCUUGCAGUUCCAAGAGCCUGUGAAACAGUCUCAGGUAAGUCUUUGAAAUGGGGAAGUCCAAGACAAGAUGUUGCCUUUCAAGCUGUAAAGGAAUCCAUACAAAUGGAUCCCGUGUACGCUACUACCUGGGUUGCUAACGACAAGCCCGUCACUGGCUGAUAAACUUAAUUCAUGGCCCCAAAACGGGGUGGGGAAUGGAAGCAGAGCCAAGGUAGGCAGGCUGCAGAGUCUGAAAUCAAAGUCAAUGGCAGAAGAAAGAUCUGAAAAGAAUGACAUUCUAGUCCUGCUUUCUCUUCCUUUUCAGGCUUUAUGGCACCUUUGAAGAAACAAAAGCUUUACAGAGAAAAGGCUGGUUUGGCAGGGGAGGCUCGCGGCUCCCUUCAGCUCACUUUACUGUCUUCCUGGCGCUUUUCUUUUUAGACAAAAAAGCACUUAAAGGGGCUUUGUUGGAUCCACGACUCGGAGGUGCAAAUCUUCAACUGUUUCCUUUUGGAGGAUCAAAUUUACAGUUUUCUCCUGCCUGUUUCUUUAUGGUGAGACAUUUGAAAUCCACAGGCAGACUGAGCCAACUGGGCAGAAAGUUUGGAAUUCUGAAAUGCUGCCGAAUUGUCAGGGACCAGCCUAGCUAAUUUGCUGAUUUACUGAACUUGACCCAAAAGAAUUUCUGUGUACACAAAAAUUUAUGAAGAAGUCUUUGAAUAAUUGUAUUAAAUGAGAUUCUGGGCCUUUAUUUUCCAUUUUAUUACCUUUUCUGAACACUGUGGAUUCCAAUCAUAUUGAAACAUUUUGUGUUCAGGCUUUGUAGCAAGUGCUGAUGGUUGAACCUCAAAAGAAUUGAAGGGUUAGUUCAUAAAUGAAUAAAAAGCCAGCGGCAUUUAUCCA
ensembl:lncRNA